rnacentral:lncRNA from 1 species
AAAUAGUUAUCAAAAAUACCAGGAUUAUAAUUUUAUACGCCAGACGCGCGUUUCGUCUACAUAAGACUCAUCAGUGACGCUCAGAUCAAAAUAGUUAAAAAAGCCAAACAAAUACAAAGUUGAAGAGCAUUGAGGACCAAAAAUUCCAAAAAGUUGUGCCAAAUACGGCUAAGGUAAUCUACUCCUGGGGUAAGAAAAUCCUUAGUUUUUCGAAAAAUUCAAAGUUUUGUAUACAGAAAAUUUAUAAAAAUGACCACAAAAUUGAUAUUCAUGUCAACACCGA